rnacentral:rRNA from 1 species
GGGGGGGGCUUACACAUGCAGCCGAGGGGUAUAGUUCUUUCGGGAACUAGAGACCGGCGCACGGGUGCGUAACGCGUAUGCAACUUGCCCUACUGAAAAGGAUAGCCCUUCGAAAGGAGGAUUAAUACUUUAUAACAGAUUUAAUGGCAUCAUUAGAUUUUGAAAGAUUUAUCGCAGUAGGAUAGGCAUGCGUAAGAUUAGUUAGUUGGUGAGGUAACGGCUCACCAAGACGAUGAUCUUUAGGGGGCCUGAGAGGGUGAACCCCCACACUGGUACUGAGACACGGACCAGACUCCUACGGGAGGCAGCAGUGAGGAAUAUUGGACAAUGGGUGGAAGCCUGAUCCAGCCAUCCCGCGUGUAGGAUGACGGCCUUAUGGGUUGUAAACUACUUUUAUCUGGGGAUAAACCUACUUACGUGUAAGUAGCUGAAGGUACCAGAAGAAUAAGCACCGGCUAACUCCGUGCCAGCAGCCGCGGUAAUACGGAGGGUGCAAGCGUUAUCCGGAUUUAUUGGGUUUAAAGGGUCCGUAGGCGGAUUAAUCAGUCAGUGGUGAAAUCUCAUAGCUUAACUAUGAAACUGCCAUUGAUACUGUUAGUCUUGAGUGAUGUUGAAGUUGCUGGAAUGUGUAGUGUAGCGGUGAAAUGCGUAGAAGC